AACUUUCUGAAAAUUCCCCACAAUUCCCCCCCCCCAAAAAAAAUCACAAAAAAUCCCAAAAUUUCCCCAAAAAUCCCCAAAUUUCCCCCAAAUUUCCCGGAUUUCCCCCCUUACCUGGGCUCGGAUCCGGGGCUUCAGCAGGAGCCAUUUGGGGUUUUCUAUACGGGAUUUUCUAUAGGGAAACUUGGGAUUUUCUAUAGGGGAUUUGGGAUUUUCCAUAGGGGAAUUUCUAUAGGGGAUUUGGGUUUUUUUUCUAUAGGGGAUUUGGGGUUUUCUACAAGGGAUUUUCUAUAGGAGAACUGGGAUUUUCUAUAGGGGAAAUUUCAGAUUUUCCAUAGGGGAAUUUCUAUAGGGGAUUUGGGGUUUUUUUCCAUAGGGGAUUUGGGAUCCCCUAUAGAGAAAUUUGGGAUUUUCCAUAGGGGAAUUUGGGAUCCUCUAAAGAGGAUUUAGGAUUUUCCAUCAGGGAUUUUCUAUAGGGGAAACUGGGGUUUUCUACAGGGAAAUUUGGGAUUUUCCAUAGGGGAAUUUCUAUAGGGGAUUUGGGAUUUUCCAUACAAGAUUUGAGAUCGCCUACAGAGAUUCAGGUGUCUCUAUAGGGGAUUUAGGUGCCACUAGGACCUCCUAUAGAAUGGGUAAAAUUCCCCUAUAGAAUAAGUAGGGUCCCCUAUAGAAUGUGUGGGAACCCCCAUAGAAUGUGUAGGGUGCCCUAUAAAAUGUACAGAAUCCCCUAUGGAAUGUGCAGGGUCCCCUAUAGAAUGUACAGAAUCCCCUAUAGAAUGUGCAGGGUCCCCUACAGAAUGUACAGAAUCCCCUAUGGAAUGUGCAGGGUCCCCUAUAAAAUGUACAGAAUCCCCUAUGGAAUGUGCAGGGUCCCCUGUAGGAUCCCCUAUAGAAGCCCCCAUGGGAUCCCCUAUAGGGUGUGUAGGGGCCGGUGUGUGCCGGGGCCGUGGCGGAUCCCCCGCGGGGUCCCCCACAGGAGCAGGGUCCCCUAUGGGAUCCAUACGGCCCCGGCCGUAGGUGACCCCGGCCUUGCUGUGGCCUCGGCCCCCGGGGGCAGCGCACGGCAUAGCGCCCCCCGCUGGGGGAUGGGGCCCCUAUGGAGCCCCUAUGGAUCCUCUAUGGAUCAGCUAUUGGAGCCCCUAGAGAUACCCUAUAGAUCCCCCAUGGGUCAGCUAUGGAUCCUCUAUGGGUCAGCUAUGGAUCAGGUAUGGGGGCCCCUAUGGAUACCCUAUAGAUCCCCCAUGGAUCCCCUAUGGGAGCCCCUAUGGAUCCCCCAUGGAUCAUCUAUGGGAGCCCCUAGAGAUACCCUACAGAUCCUCAAUGGAUCCCCUAUGGGAGCCCCAUGGAUCCCCCAUGGAUCAGGUAUGGGGGCCCCUACAGAUCCCCUAUGGAUCAGCUAUGGAUCCCCUAUGGGAGCCCCUUUGGAUCCCCUAUGGAUUCCCCAUGGAUCCCCUAUAGAUCCCUUAUAGAUCCCCUAUGGAUCAGCUAUGGAUCCCCUAUGGGAGCCCCUUUGGAUCCCCUAUGGAUUCCCCAUGGAUCCCCUAUAGAUCCCCCUAUGGAUCCCUUAUAGAUCCCCUAUAGAUCAUCUAUGGGACCCCUAUGGAAUCAUUAUGGGGACUCAGGGAAUCCCCUGUGGGAUCCCCUAUGGAUCCCUUAUAGAUCCCCUAUGGGAGCCCUGCAGACCCCCUAUGGAAUCCCCUAUGGAUGCCUCUGGGUCCCCUAUAGAUCCCUGUGAAUCCCCCCAGGGAAUCCCCUAUGGAUCCCCUAUAGAAUCCCACAGACCCCUCCCCAAAAAGGAUCCCAGGGAGGGGCUGGGCAGCACCUACAGAGCCCCUAUAGGGCCCCAGUGACCCCUACAGAGCCCCCAUGUCCCCUAUAGGGUCCCCAUGUCCCCUAUAGGGCCCCUGAACCCCCUCCCCAAAGUCACCAAAUCCCCCUACAGAGCCCCUAUAGGGCCCCAGUGACCCCUAUAGAGCCCCCAUGUCCCCUAUAGGGCCCCAGUGACCCCUAUAGAGCCCCCAUGUCCCCUAUAGGGUCCCCAUGUCCCCUAUGGGGUCACCAUGUCCCCUAUAGGGCCCCUGAACCCCCCCCCAAAGUCACCAAAUCCCCCUACAGAGCCCCUAUAGGGCCCCAGUGACCCCUAUAGAACCCUUACGGUCCCAUACAGGACCCCUAUAGGGCCCCAGUGUCCCCUAUGGAACCCCUAAACCAC
rnacentral:lncRNA from 1 species